rnacentral:rRNA from 1 species
AUGGAUCAGGUCACAAGGGAUAUACAAGGAGAUAUCCCAUGGUGUAUGCUCUUUGCGGAUGAUGUGGUGCUAGUUGACGAUAGUCGGACGGGGGUAAAUAGGAAGUUAGAGUUAUGGAGACAAACCUUGGAAUCGAAAGGGUUUAGGCUUAGUAGAACUAAAACCGAGUACAUGAUGUGCGGUUUCAGUACUACUAGGUGUGAGGAGGAGGUUAGCCUUGAUGGCCAGGUGGUACCUCGGAAGGACACCUUUCGGUAUUUGGGGUCAAUGUUGCAGGAGGAUGGGGGUAUUGAUAAAGAUGUGAACCAUCGAAUCAAAGCCAGAUGGAUGAAGUGGCGCCAAGCUUCUGGCAUUCUCUGUGACAAGAGAGUGCCACAAAAGCUAAAAGGCAAGUUCUACAGGACGGCGGUUCGACCCGCAAUGUUGUAUGGCGCAGAGUGUUGGCCGACUAAAAGGCAACAUGUUCAACAAUUAGGUGUGGCGGAGAUGCGUAUGUUGAGAUGGAUGUGUGGCCACACGAGGAAGGAUCGAGUCCGGAAUGAUGAUAUACGAGAUAGAGUUGGGGUAGCACUAAUUGAGGAGAAGCUUGUCCAACAUCGUCUGAGAUGGUUUGGGCAUAUUCAGCGCAGGCCUCCAGAAGCUCCAGUGUAUAGCGGACGGCUAAAGCGUGCGGAGAAUGUUAAGAGAGGGCGGGGUAGAUCGAAUUUGACAUGGGAGAAGUCCGUUAAGAGAGACCUGAAGGAUUGGAGUAUCACCAAAGAGCUAGCUAUGGACAGGGAUGCGUGGAAGCUUGCUAUCCAUGUGCCAGAGCCAUGA